GUGGGGAAUCUUGCGCAAUGGGCGAAAGCCUGACGCAGCCAUGCCGCGUGAAUGAUGAAGGUCUUAGGAUUGUAAAAUUCUUUCACCGGGGACGAUAAUGACGGUACCCGGAGAAGAAGCUCCGGCUAACUUCGUGCCAGCAGCCGCGGUAAUACGAAGGGGGCUAGCGUUGCUCGGAAUUACUGGGCGUAAAGGGCGCGUAGGCGGACAGCUUAGUCAGAGGUGAAAGCCCAGGGCUCAACCUUGGAAUUGCCUUUGAUACUGGCUGUCUUGAGUUUGGGAGAGGUGAGUGGAACUCCGAGUGUAGAGGUGGAAUUCGUAGAUAUUCGGAAGAACACCAGUGGCGAAGGCGACUCACUGGCCCAAUACUGACGCUGAGGCGCGAAAGCGUGGGGAGCAAACAGGAUUAGAAACCCUAGUAGUCC
rnacentral:rRNA from 1 species